rnacentral:lncRNA from 1 species
AGGCCCUCCACUUGAGUGAAUCCCUUGUGUAAACAAGAAUGAGCUUCAAGGGUAAUGAAUCUCUAAAUCCUUCCUUCUCUUUAAUGUUGUUGAAGAGUCUCAUGGUUCACCAUUCACUAGGCUUUGAAAGUCAAGGGUUUUAGAAUUGUUUUUGAAUGCAUGCCUACUUUAAUAUGUUAAUAGUUUGCCUAUGUGUUCAAAUAUUCUCACAUGUUCUUAGCUAGGACAAAAUUUUUCCUUCACUUGCACGUUCAUAUAUGCUUUCAUAUUUUUUAGACUUAUAUAUUAAUGAUUAUGAAUUUUAUUUAUUUUGAAUUUCCUUAAAUAUACUAUUCAUGAGGGUUUGUAUGGUUUUAAAAAUUCAAACAACGAUGUACCCAUAUUCAGCGUAUGUGACAACCUGUCCCAAAUUUUAUUAUUUUAUAAAUCUUAAAAUGUGAAAUUUACGAGAAUACCCUAGAGGUGAGGGUAUUGAUUUUCGUUGAUCGUUAGUUCAUGACGCGUAUGAACUAUUACCUUACCAUAUUCCAAAAGUACGUUGGUAAGGAUUGUUAUUUAUUAUCUUAUUCAUUUCUUAUUAUUAUAUUUUUUUUAUGUAAAGGGUUGUGGGAGAAAAUAGAAGAAAAAAGAGAAAGGGGAAUGGCUGCUUGAUGGCAGUGAAAGAAAGGGAGAGGAAGGAGAUAGGCACUGCCCAAUUAGAAAUGAGGAGAGAGGGAGAGUGAUGAAUGGGAGAGAAGAACCAGGAGGGAAAUGAGGGAUGUUUCUUGACCCGUGCAACCUGUUUCCUCAAAUCGGCGGCUCCUCGCCGUUUCUCGUCCAAUUUUCCGACGAAUUAGACCUAUAAACUACUCCCAAUCAUCACCUUGGCCCUUUCUCUUCUUGUUCCACCAAAAAUUAGAGGGAAUUUGAUAGUAUUUUGGUACACAAAAUAGUAAUGGGUGCAGUUGGAGACCUUGCCCAAAAUCCAUCAAUUGUGAAACCAUCUCCUUCAAUUACCACCAUUAGAACACUCCUCUAGAACCCAGGAACAACGCCCAGGCAAUGGUCGAGGCGUCGGAGUGAGUAUGGAGGUCGAAUUGAAGCACACCAUUUUCUAGGGUUUCGGCAGGUUUGAGCAAAAUUGGAGCUUUUCUCGGCCAAAUUAGACUUGGCCGCAUGCGACGAUGGUUCGUGAUGUCUCGAUAUGCAUGCUAGGGAGUUGUGGCAUGAACCUCAGGUGAGUGGGUCUUUUCCAUUCUAUCGUGUAUUAUAUAUAUGUAUAUAUAUGAUUGACAAUUCCAUAAAUGUUUAUAAAUUGAUUAUUGCUUAUGAUUACUGUGAAUGCUUUGAAAUACUAUUGUGAACUAUGAAUGGCUUGAUCCCUGUUCAAGGUACAUAGGCAGUCUAACGAGACUUUAGAUGCAGUAAUACAAUAAUUGAAACAAAAACCUUGUUUUGGAAUUAAGCAAUGUGAAGGAAAUCGGUAAAAAUAUGAGAUUUAACCUUAUAUUUUUGUGAUUGGAUGUUGGUCAUAAAUCAAUGUGGAAGGAAUUAAGAAACUGAAAUAAGGAAACAUAAUUAAUGAUAGUUAAUAAACUAGUUUUUAGUUGGACUUAUCCCCGAUAGUUAUUCACAAAAAUAAAUAAUUCGGGAGUAGGGUGUUAUAGUUUAUGCAUUUUUAUUCCACAUUAUAUAUAUGUAUAUGUAUAUAUAAUUGGAAAUGCUAUAACGUGGUUGAGUAUCAUAUUUCAUCGUGGUUUAUCUAUAUGUAUAUUACUUGCACACAAUUAUUAUAAACACUUUGAAGUGCAAAGGUGAACGCAGGACACCCAAGUAAGUUCAGGUGAGUUUAUGGUAUUAGUUGAAAUGAUGGGGUUAUGGUAUGACUACAUGUAUGUUUAGGCAACCUUGUCGUGUAGGUUGCAAUGAUAAGCAACUCUGACACUGUCAUACAAGUUGCCCAUGAAUCGUAUAUGUGACAACAGAUACAAUUAGACCUCAUAAACCUGCACCCCGGUGUUAGUGCUCCCGCCUGUGGCCAGGGCAUAGUCCUUCACGUGAUGUUCACCUCCCGCACCUUAUGCUCACCUUGAAUCUAAGGUAGGUGCACAGUCCUGUCGUACAGACCAGUAUAGGUGGUUCCGACUCGUAGGUGACCUGAGAUUAUUCACACAGUCUUCACGUGAUCAUAGCACUUGAGCGUAUUUAUUUACACCCAGUCUUGUCGUACAUACCACUUUAGGUGGUUCCGACUGGUGUGCAGGUAUACUUAUUGAGCUAUGGAUUAGUCGUACAGGUCACUAGAGGUGACUCCGACUUAUGAGCUAGCAUAUGUGAUGAAAUAUGUGAUGACCUAGCAUAUGUGAUGAGAUACAUGAUGAGUUAGCAUAUGUAAAGAGAUAUGUGAUGAGCUAGCAUAUGUGAUGAGAUAUGUGAUGAGAUAUGUGAUGAGCUAGCAUAUGUGAUGAAAUAUGUGAUGAGGUAGCAUAGGUGAUAAGAUAUGGGUAAUUCGUACAGGCCACCAUAGGUGACUCCAACUUGUGUGCUAGUAUGGGUUAUUAAUCACAUGAUUAUUGAUAUUGCUGAUGAGAUGUUGUGUUGUGGUAUAAUUAUGAAUUUUUUUUUUGGAAAAUAUUUAGGUGUUGUAGUAAGGGGUUAUAAUGUUUUAUAUGGUCUCUAUUAAAAUUUUAAUUCCAGGGCCACUCACCCUUGUUUUGUCUUCACCUUCAAGGUUUUAUUAGCCGACCUUUCUUAUCGUCGAAGAUUCGUGGCGAUUCUUAGUCUUGGAGAUUUUUUUUCGAGGGUACGAUUCUUAGUUCACUCUACUAUACUUGCUUGUGCUCUAACGUCACUUGUCAAGUGGGUUCAUUCCCGCUCACUAGCAUAUUAUGGUAUUUAGGCACUCUUAGGUUUAAAUUUAUUCACAUUUUUUCCACAUCAUCAUACUUUAUGGCUUCGUCACCCUCCAGGUGUCGGACAACACAG